rnacentral:rRNA from 1 species
UCAAUCUCGUGCGGCUAGAAGCCGCCUGUCCCUCUAAGAAGAAUUGAUUGUACGCCGACAGUAAAAACCGCGCGCGACCACGACGCGUGAGCGCCGGGCCGGCGGGCCUUUAAGAUGUCGAAAAUACGCCUAGUUAGCAGGCUAGAGUCUCGUUCGUUAU